UGUUUAGACCUAAACACAAUAUCCGCAGUAAAAGUUAGCGCACGGCUCAGCAAUGAGCCAUUCCCCUAAGCCUGGAACGAUUGUUCCGGGCCUUUUUAU
rnacentral:sRNA from 1 species